rnacentral:rRNA from 1 species
GACGGAGGAUGCAAGUGUUAUCCAGAAUCACUGGGCGUAAAGCGUCUGUAGGUGGUUUAAUAAGUCAACUGUUAAAUCUUGAGGCUCAACCUCAAAAUCGCAGUCGAAACUAUUAGGCUAGAGUAUAGUAGGGGUAAAGGGAAUUUCCAGUGGAGCGGUGAAAUGCGUAGAGAUUGGAAAGAACACCGAUGGCGAAGGCACUUUACUGGGCUAUUACUAACACUCAGAGACGAAAGCUAGGGUAGCAAAUGGG